UACGUAGGGCGCAAGCGUUGUCCGGAAUUAUUGGGCGUAAAGAGCUCGUAGGUGGUCUGUUGCGUCCGCUGUGAAAACCCAGGGCUUAACCCUGGGCUGGCAGUGGAUACGGGAAGACUAGAGGUAGGUAGGGGAGAAUGGAAUUCCCGGUGUAGCGGUGAAAUGCGCAGAUAUCAGGAAGAACACCGAUGGCGAAGGCAGUUCUCUGGGCCGUAACUGACGCUGAGGAGCGAAAGCGUGGGGAGCGAACAGG
rnacentral:rRNA from 1 species